GGAGUUAUUUAAAAACCAUAGAGGUCUUUUUCUUAUCUGCUCUCCUUUCCUUUUAGUUUAGGAACAUGGCAGCCGGGUUUAUUUCAAGACAAUGGUACCCAAAUAUCAUAUGGAUCUUGGCUUUCCCGAAGAUGCAGCAGUUCAUGCUUCAGCGGGCGAGACGCAGCGCGACGGCGGCAGCAGCAGCUCCUUGCAAUGCCUCCUAACUUGGAAAACUACGUCAGAGGUAGUAAAAGCAAUUGUCUGAGAGAGGCGCGAGCCCGAGCCACAGUGGCUCUGUGUUCCACUUCGGCUAGUCAGGAUCUUGCUGAAACUGUUUCAGCUUGGGCACUGGCUUGAUAUCUGGUCAUGGACAAAUUUGAUGAAGUGGUUUACACGUCUGAAGCAGUUUAAGCAUAUGUCAUGGGUACAUAGAAAGCUUAUGAAAUUCCAUUGUCUGCCAAGAUGGAUUUACUUUUCCUGUCAAAAGAGUAAGGUCUAAUCUCCAAUAAUUCCCCCUUCCAAAGCAAAAAAGAGGACAAAAGAGAGAAGAAUUAAAUUUUGGGAAAAAAUGAUUACUGAGAAACUACAGUAUUAUUUCCGUAGUUGGGGAUUAGCUCAAUUCAGUACUUAUCCCUAUCUUCCAAUACUGAACAAAAUUGUUCAUGCACUUACUGCAUGGAUCAGGGUGAUAUCUGAUGCACAUUCAAGAUAACGUGACAAAUUUACAGGAACAAUCUGACAGGAAACUUCAAACCAUGAGACAGAAAUAGGGGGUGAAAAAAUGAAGAAACUUAUUCUGUCAAAUGGAUUGCCCUCUGGGACAGAACCUGGUGCAUAAAAUUAGAAUUGGAGAGAAUGAUAUGAAUGUUGCUGAUUCCUAAACAAGUGACAAAGUGGAUACUUUUUCCAACUCUGAAAUGCAAGCCCCUCAUCGUUGUUCUGGUGAUGCACAAGGCACUUCUAACCCUUGCAAAGUUCUCUGGUUCUGUCUGCUACUUCAAUUUGUGCUGCCCUAUGACAAGAGCAGACGGCAUUCUUGAAAGGAGUAGCCUUUCUAUUAUGGUAGUCAAGUGUAGAAAAAGUAUUGUUACUCAUUUGAUGACACCUGAGAAAGGAUAGAACUGCAUAGUGCUUUGAAGUGCCCCACUUUGAAAGGCUGCUGGUUUAAUUUCUUCGGCUGUUAAUGGAGCAUUCUGAUGGGUUUUGAGAUCUGCACUCAACAAUGGCCAUGGAAGUUUGUUCACUGUCCACAUGCCUAAAAUCUAUAGCCGUAUUAGUAUUUGUUUCUGAGGUAUAAAGAUGUCUGAAGAAAGUCAAAUAGGUCGUCUUUAUUUCCUCUGCCUCUUCUGUCCAGCUUCCCCCAACUGUUCCAUGCCUCAUGAUUCUGUUCUAAUGGUCUACCUUAUCUAAAGCUUGACUUAAUUUCGGAGAAUGUAACAACUUUCAACAGAUUAUCUUCAUGGCAGGUACUAAUGAUAUUUUUCAGCAUUUCACU